CUGCCUCUUUUUUUCCUCUUUUCAGUCGAGACCUCUUCUCUUCUCUUCCCAGUGGACUAUGCCUCCUAUUCUCUUCUCUUCUCUUCAGUCGACAACGCCUCCUCUUCUCUUUUCUUUUCUUCAGUCGACGACGCCUCCUCCCAUCUCUCUUCUCUUCUCCGUCAAAGCCCAGCCACCCGAAGCCCUCCAUUGCAGCCCAGCCACCUGAAGCCCUCCGUUGCAGCCUAGCCAUCUGAAGCGGUAGCAACCCAACAACCUGAAGACCUCCCAACCAAAGCCAUCCUCCAUUCUGCUUCGUAUUGUAGCGAGGCGACACUCAUCUGAUCAUCUCUCUUUUGGAAUCAUUUUUUUUCUAUAUUUGGCUAGCGCCAGCCCCACCACCACCAUUUCCAGAAGGCUACAUCCCCUCACGAACACAGAAUCGGAAAAUGGCCCUGAAACCCAACAAAUGGGGGAGGCACAACCACCUCCCCUUGACCCAUCAUUGAUCAAGGCCCAGCUAAAAGAAUGAAAUUCUGAAUAAGAGGUGUCGCAUCAUAAGUUGUCUGUCUAGAUCUGAAGCUAAGUUAAUCGCUACAACUUUAAAUAUCCGCUAACUCCUAGGCCUUUUUCGGUUGUGGUAAAGAUCUGAAGCUAAGCUAACUUAAUCACAACAACUUUAUAUAUGUUGUGGUAGUUUUCAUUUCAGUUGUUCUUCAGAGUGAGUACAAGGAUAAAAAGAAGAAAUAUAUGUUGUUGGACAAUGAAUUUAGUGUUUUAUUUUAUCUGUAAUUUUUAUUAGAGUAAUUGAUUCUUUGUAAAUACUUUGUAUAAGUUUUGUUAUUUUAAUCUAUAAUUUUUUAGAUUUGUAUAUAAA